ensembl:lncRNA
CAGAAGGCAGAAGUGAAAGAGAGGGUGGAGAUUGCAUGAGAUGAACCUAUGGGCACACUGACGAAGUCACGACUGAUUGUGUGUUUUAAUGUGAGCGAGUGUGACAGCACUUAUGUUAGUUGGAUUUGUGAUUAAACGCUUAGAAAUGAAGCUCUCCUGCCCUCUGAUCUGUGGGAUCAUUUUGUCCUGGAUUUGCUUCAGAGUUUCAAGUGAGAAUCUGUCUGUGAUUCAGAGUCCAUCCAGCAUCACUGUGAAUGAAGGAGAAUCUACUCAAAUCAGCUGCUGCUGGAAUGAAACCAUACAGAAUGUUAAAUUUGCUUGGUACAUUAAUGAGAAAAAACUAAACCAGGAUCUCCAAGAACAUAAAACACAGAACUGUGCAAUUCUGAACCUCACAAACAUACUUAAAAAUGCUUCAGGUCAUUAUGUUUGUGAAGUGACUCAAGACAUACCAGUCCUGCUUCAGAAGAAUGGUAGUGGAACAGUCAUAACUGUCAAUUACAUACUAGUAGAAACGACAACAACUGUCAGUGUUCACACACUUUUCAACCCAGCAGCUGUAAAGCCAGAUGUACUUGAUAAUCUGAAGAGAGAUCCAGAAGAUGAGAACUAUAAUUAUUUGGAUCCUAAAGGUAGUUCGCGGGAGGUUGUGAUCAUAUAUAUUUUCAGAAGUCUGCCCUUCAUCUGUCUGCUGGUGGCAUUCUUUUACCUAAACAGGGACAAAAAACAAGUCACAGCAUCAAGACCAGAAAGUCAGGAGUCAGGAGAAAGACCGGAUGAAGACCUGGAGGCCGGAGAGACACAGAGAAGUGAAACUGAAGAGGCGAAACAGGGUGAGAAUGUUUCUGAACAGGAGAAAAGGAGGGUCAACAACCAGAAACCUGAAGUUACUGCAGCAACAGAAGAAGAAAAAGAAAAUGAAGAAAAACAGAUUGAUGUAGUUGUCGACACUGAACAAGGUACAUCUCCAAUGCAUGACGAUGAAAAAAACAAGACUGAAUCUGUUCUGAACACUGAUGAAAAGACAUCUAAUGACUGAUGCUGAAGAAGUGACUGUUUCUGUGCUGGGCGGCUUUGUUUCAGCUCUGUGAGACAUACAGGAAAUGGAGUUAUGGGUGUGUUGUUCAGGUCUAUGAUGCCACUUCCUGCAUAAUUGCUUGUUUGCAGACUCAUAAUGGUUUGCAAUGAUUUACACUGAAUCCUGAAAGUAGGUGAAAUAUAGUAUGUCUUGUGCAUGCAUGAAUCUUUCUGUUGGAUCGUGUGUGUUGUGGGAUUGUGUAUAUGGUUGUUUUUCAUUGUGUCUUGGGUGAAUCGAAUGCGAGAUCAGUGUUGUGGUUUACUGUGGGCUUCACUGUGAUAAAAUUAGUUGCGUGGGGAGGGGGUGAAAUUCUGAGAGUACGAGUGUCUCAUGCGUGUGAAAGGUUAUUAUGUGGGAGUAAAGCAGAGUUCAGAUUCUCUGCAGAUGCUCAGAAAUGAAGUGUUCCUCCAGACUCCUGUGUGGGCUCCUCGUGUCAUGCCUUUAUUUCAGAGUUUCAAGUGAGAAUCUGUCUGUGACUCAGAGUCCACCCAACAUCACUGUGAAUGAAGGAGAAUCUGCUCAAAUCAAAUGCUGCUGGAAUGAAAUCAUACAGAAUGUUAAAGUUGCUUGGUACAUCAAUGAGAAAAAACAAAAGCAGGAUCUCCAAGGACAUAAAACAUGUGCAGUUCUGAACCUCACAAACAUACUUAAAAAUGCUUCAGGUCAUUAUGUUUGUGAAGUGACUCAAGACAUACCAGUCCUGCUUCAGGAGAAUGGUAGUGGAACAGUCAUAACUGUCAGCGACAUACUAUAUAACAAAACAGAGACUGUUUCUAGCCAGCCUCAAACCACUCAGACUGCACACAGUGACACUUCACCUCUAUCUCUGCCUUUGUCUCUGGCUGCUGCCGUCGGCCUGCUGACCCUCUGCUUGGCCUUCAGUGUGUGCAAGAUGAGAAACUCCUGUAAAAAAUCAGAGCGAGUGGUCAUUCACCAGACGCCUAACAGUGAGGGUGAGGAGCAUGAGCACAUGGAAGAAGAGGACGGCAGCACGGGCUCCUCUCGAGGAUCCCUCCAAUGGUAUCAAGUGCCUGUUUACUGGUCUUACUUUGAUCUACAGAGGGGUGAAGACCAGUGACAACCAGAAAGGAAAGACAAACGUGAUGUUCAGUUCACUGGAUUGCAUUUUGCAUUCUCUCCCCUUUCAUGAGAGCAUUUUUGUAAAUAGCAGAAGUGAUUUUAAUCUUCAGAUAGGCUUCUUGAAACCCUCAGUUAAAGCUCUUGAUUGUGCUAGCAGAUGUUAAUCUCUCUGUUUGUAUAGCAGCUCUAUUGAUUUGUUUUUUCUUAUUUUAAUUUCUUUUACAUUUUUUUUAUGAGAGAUUUCUUUAAUUAAAAUGAAGAUGUGUCAUACUGACACGCAUGAAAAACUACUUGGAUUUCAUGCCCAGACAGAUGUAAAAAAGUUUUAUAAUAAAGAGUUUUAUGCUGUACA